GAGACCCACGCCAACAGUUGCCAGCUCGUCCUCCGGGAUGGAGGGGACACUGUUGGGACCGCCUCUGCUAAAGAGGAGGAAGGAAUGGGCAACGGUAGGUCAGCAUGCCCCGAAUUAUCCGGGCUACACGCGGGCUACAAUGGGUGAGACAAUGGGAAUCGACACCGAAAGGUGAAGGCAAUCUCCUAAACUCAUUCUUAGUUCGGAUUGUGGGCUGCAACUCGCCCACAUGAAGCUGGAAUCCGUAGUAAUCGCGUCUCAAAAUGGCGCGGUGAAUAU
rnacentral:rRNA from 1 species